rnacentral:snRNA from 1 species
CCAGGUUCCUGGCCCAUGAGAAAGGGAUAUCAGUUUAUCUGAUAUGUGGGCCAUGUGCCCACUUCGAUAUUAAAUUUAUUUUUUGUGGGGAGGGUCCAGGGCCCUCAAGCGUCGUUUGGGCUUUGCACUACAGCCCUAGCCUGGCGCAAACCAA